UCCUACGGGGGGCAGCAGUCGGGAAUAUUGCACAAUGGAGGAAACUCUGAUGCAGUGACGCCGCGUGCAGGAAGAAGGUUUUCGGAUUGUAAACUGCUUUAGACAGGGAAGAAACAAGACAGUACCUGUAGAAUAAGCUCCGGCUAACUACGUGCCAGCAGCCGCGGUAAUACGUAGGGAGCAAGCGUUAUCCGGAUUUAUUGGGUGUAAAGGGUGCGUAGACGGGUAUAUAAGUUAGUUGUGAAAUCCCUCGGCUCAACUGAGGAACUGCAACUAAAACUGUAAAUCUUGAGUGCGGGAGAGGA
rnacentral:rRNA from 1 species